CUAUAACACAACAUGUGGAGAAGGUGAUAAAAAUGUGAAGUUCUAGUUGCAGUUACGGGCUUGACUCAUUGCCACAACUCCACUACCGGUUUGGGAGUGUUGAAAGUCAAGACAUGAAACUUAACACUGCUUGACUCAAUAAGGAUUUAUUUCACAUUCCAAGCCAGCAAUUUAGCUUGCAGGCACCUCAACCUACCACAAGGAGUCGCUAGAGUACUGUGAGACAACACACCCCUGCUUGAUAUUUACCAGUCUGCCCCAUGUAGCACUGAGCCAAAUUGUGCUGCUGUCUUAAGGGACCCUGAACACAAGUAACCUAUAUCCAAACUCCUGGCUGCAAUGACGCAGUAAUGGUGUGAGACAGUGACUUCAAGACCUAGACUACAUUCAGGAGCCACACCACCCUUUUAAGUACAUCAUAACUCAGUUAAUCUGCAAGCUCACACGCUUUCCUUAGUCGAAGUGGGACUACCGAAGACCUUAGUCCAAAAGCUUUGCAAGACCCUCGUAUUGAGUUUAAUUUGUUUUUAUGGAUUUUUCUAACAGUUCUUGUUAGCAAAAUUACUCUCACAUAAUGGUUGGAAUUCUGGUUGCUGGUUAUACCACUGGCUUAUGGUGAAAUGUUCCUACUGUAUAUGUGGUGGUGGAACUGUUAUUGGUGUUGGACAACAUAUUUUAGCAUAUUUACCUUUGUUAUGCUAAUUCUAGGAUAUAAAGAUUGUCUUUAUUUCAAAUAUUUCUGUAUUGUAUAUUGUACACAGUGAACUAAGACACCAUUGAAUAAUGUUUUGUGAGGGUGUGAGCAAGUGGGUCAGGUAUUCUAGAUUGUUUUCAAUCAGUUAUUUUGUCAAGUUUAUUCUACCAAACAACAAAGCAAUAUACCUAUCCCAAGAUCCUCUGUAGUGUGAAUGGUUUUACCUGUUCUGUUGCAGGUGAAUCAGGUGAACUAAUUUGAGUGAUUACAAAGCCCAUAAACAGGUGAAUCAGGUGAACUAAUUUAGGGCUAUGGAACAAUUGUGAAGUGUCUUGAGGUGUCCCCAGAAAAAAAGUUUGGACACCACUGACCAGUAGUCUACAGUGGAUUCCUGGCUGUGGCAUUUCUCAAGUCUUCGAUAAAGCUUUCUGAAUUGUCUCACCUUAAGAGACAUUUAUUGUAAAGAAAAAUAAAUGGACGGUUUAUGUUGCUAGUUCAUUUUCAACCACUAAUUCUGUCUGUGAUCAAAUGGCCCAAAGCUUAACUUUCCUAAUGGCAUUAUUGAAAGCUUACUGUAAAACUCAGCAUCUUGAAUCCUGAUUGGCUGAAAGCAAUGGUUUAUGAAACCAUAUGCCACAGUUAAGGAAAAGGAGAAAAGGUGUGCAUUAUUCAGAUGAUUGGAUUAAAGAGGAAAACUGGAUUGAAGGGGAGGAAGUCUCAGAACAUACCAGUAAAAGUAUCGAUACUUCAGUCAUCCCACUCGUGGGGGACAGUGAUCUGUCAGAGUACGGAGACAGACUGUCCACAUUUUACAGUCAGGACAAUUACAUGGAGGACAUAACCGAGAACUUCCGAGGCAGAUUAGGAUGUAUAAGGGACCAACAAACACGCAGACUGAAGACAGGACUAUUGGGCAAUACCAACGCCAAGAAGAAGCAAAGAAUAAUUGAACUCGGCUGGAUGGACUUCAAUGAAAAAGACCAAGAUUACAAACAGGUCAGGACAGUAAACGGAGGGGGCACAAGACACCUCUACGUCGACAAAAAGAAAACUGUUGAGGAAAUCCAAGUAAUGGCGGAGGAGAUCUUUUUCCCGAAUGGACUGUCAAAGAAAGAAACACAACUAGGGGACUAUCAGAGAGAAAUCCGAUGGAGGUAUUGUCAGGUGAACAACUCCAGCACCGUGGAUGAACUUUAUGGGGAAACCAAAGUAGGAUGCCUUCGACUCUAUCUCUGCACCAAGGCACACAAUGUCAGAGAUUUCAGGGUUGUGGCGCUCCAGUCUAGUGGUUAUUAGUUUUUGCCUGAGGUUCUUGUGAUUGAUCCUAUGUCAUUAAAUGGAUUAUAGAUUAUUCAUCCGUCUCAAGGCUUGGCGAGGCCCACUGAUCGUGAUAGCAUAGAAUAAUGUAUUCUAAAGGCUAAAUGAGGGGGCCCAGGCAUAUAUCUUUUCGGGGCAACCAGGAUUCCUGGCCACGGUCCUGCCUGUAGUUCUUGUGAACAAUUAUAAUUUAAUUUGUUAGGUUAUAGACUGCUUGUUUCUUACAAAACAAUAAUGUUUGAUUAAUUCUAUUGUUGACGUAUAUAAAAAUGUUGUCAGCUGAAAUGCAAAAUUAAAUGGUUACUUACUUGUAAC
ensembl:lncRNA